rnacentral:rRNA from 1 species
AUAUUGGUCAUGCCUAGCGGCUGACAGCACUUGGAGGAUGUAUAGAGAAAGCUGGUCAAAUGCAAUGUAUCUAGUAGUAUUAGUGAUUAAUACGAUAUUAACUAAGUUAAUUAAAAUUCAAUGUAGAUAUCUGAUUAUGACAGUAUUUGCUUAUGUCUUGACCAAUUCACGUGCCAGCAGUCGCGGUAAGACGUGUAAGAUAAGUGUUAUUCAUCUUUAACAGGUUUAAAGGGUACCUAGACGGUUAAUCAAACACUGUAAUGUAUUAAUUAACUAGAGUUUGAUAUAAGAAGGAUUGAGUACGGUGAGUGUAGAGAUAAAAUUCUAUUAUACCAUUCUGGAACUGGUAAAGGCGAAGGCAACCUUCUAUGUAAAAACUGACGUUAAGGGACGAAGGCUCGUGUAAAAAAACAGGAUUAGAUACCCUGGUAUUUUGGGCAGACAAUGAUGAGUGUCAUAUGCAAGAUAAGAAAAAAGAAGAAAAAUAAAAAAUAGUUUUUUGUGUAUAAAUGAAAGUGUAAGCACUCCACCUUAAGAGUAACAUGGCAACAUGGGAACUGAAAUCAUUAGACCGUUUCUGAAACUCGUAGUGAAGUAUGUUGUUUAAUUUGAUAAUCCACAAAUAACCUUACCACAACUUGUAUAACUUUAGCUAAAAGUAACAAGUGUUGCACGGCUGUCUUCAGUCAAUGUUGUGAAACUGUGGUUAGAUCCAUUAAAUUGACGUAAACCCUUACUUUAUUUAUUAUAAAGUAGUUCGCCGCUAUAUUGGUAUUGAUAUAAGGGACUAAGACAAGUCAUCAUGACCUGAACGUUGUGGGCUAUAGACGUGCCACAUUACCUUAACAAAAAGAUGCAAAAUUGUAAAAUUUAGCUAAUCUAUAAAAAGGAAAUAAUACGGAUUGUAGUCUG